GUCUGGGGUGCAGUGGCCUUGUGCUGCCACUAGAAGGCACCUGGCGUCUGGGAAUUUCUUAAUUUGUUUUAGGUUCCCGGUAUUUUUACUUUUAUUUUGAGCUUGUGUGAGCCGUUGGGUAUUGGGACAUUGUCCCUGGUAUUGUAUUUUGUUUGUGUCUUUCUGAGCUGCGUCUCAGGCUUUUUCUUUUCGCUGAGUAAUUUUGCUACUCAGUUGUCUUUAUUUUUUAAGACCAGUUUUGGGUUUGGGACCGGAGCUUCGCCUCUGUACCACUGGUCCCUUUUCUUUUUCGCCCUGGUUUGUACGUGUAGUUGUUGGUUUCUCGAGCCAGUUUAACGGCUGGACAAGGUUGUCCUUCGGAGUCCUUUUUUAUUCCGUGUUUUCUUUUGGUUUAUGAUCCUGUGUGUGCGGGAGUUUCUCUCCCAAGGAUCUUAUUUUGUGUUAUUUUCUGGUGUUCUCUUUCCUUUGUCCUUCGGGACUUUGUGGUUAACGCUUCCUGUAGCGUUAGCUUUUCGUUCCCCUGUAUUAGUCGGUUCUCCGACACCCCCCCACCCCCACCCCACCCCACCAUUAUAAUACAAUGUAUCAAAGAAGAAAGGCACAAGGCACUCUCCUGUCCAGAAUAAUGUAUAAAAAGCCUUUAACAUGAUAGCACUCAUGACUGAAUAUUUGAAAUGAUGAUGUAAAAAAAGAGCUGCCGUUCGUGCGUGGCGGAAAAAAUAGCCUCAGGGCAUGGCGUGGGGCUCUCCCUUCUGCUGCCUGCACCAGUUAAUAACACACAGCUGCACCGAGGACCGGCAAACGCUCGGGUGGCGAUGGAAGAAUCAGACCACCGGAAGGGAAGUAAACAGUCGAGGAAAAGAUAGUCGAUGUGUAAGAAUAACAGAACGUUCGUACUGUACUAACAGAACGUUCUUACUGUACUUGGUGUAGGCUGCCUGUGCGAUUGUGUUCUGAAGCAGGCUGGUUUUUUUUUCCAGCUACGCAUGGGCUGUAGAACUUCUUUAUAUCAUUUUAAAUGUUUCAUCAUGAAACAGCCAUCAUGUUAAAGGCUUUUUAUAUUUUUUUACAGAGAGAAAAGUGCCCUGAAUUUUUCCUCUUUGAUGAAAUAUAAUUUGCAAAGCAAAUUUAUGUAUAUUCACAUUAUAGAUGCAAGAGACCCUUUUACUUCAACUUCUUUGAAUGCUCAUUUAAUUCUCAUUUACAUUGUACAUAAUAUCUUUUCAUUUAAAGUGAAUACUACAUUUGCAAUAUUUCAUAUGGAUAUACCUCUGACAUACGGUAUACACAGAAAACAGUAUAUACAGUACCAAUAAAUAACAUAACAGAUGCAACAAAAUUUAAAAAAUUUAGUUAGAAUUUGCAGAUACAGCACAUAUAUAAGUGGAGUUCCCAUGAAGUGCACAUUUAUAUUUAAGUAAGAACUUACCUGAGCUCUGUGGAGGACAGUAGCUUGGUGUGUGAGGUGGAAAGUGCAAGCUGAUGGUCCUUUAUAUAGUCCAAUAACUCAGGCUGGGAGAGGCUAGAGGCUGCUUUUACAGAGAAAGGAAAGUGAAACUGACUGAUUUCCCCAAGCUCUCCCUCUGCUGUUCCACAGGCAGCAAA